GUUACUCCCUGUAUUGUAAGUGAUAGGGAAUGAUUAACGCCGCCAUUUUCGAUUCGUUUCUGUAUUGAUUGACAAUAUGAACAUGAUUGAGACGAAUGGUUUACCCUAAGAAGUUUCUAAGGAAUCUUGAAUAUUUUUUUAUAUCAAUGUAUUAAAAAUUAAAAUAUUGUAAUAACAUUCAAUAUGUAUAUUGUACAUAAAUAACAGAUCAAUGUGUUUCAAGGCGCACAGCAGUGAUAACAGCCAAGUUCUAUGGUAAAAAUUUAUUUACUAUUUGUAUUUAUGUAUAUAAAAUUCUACAAACUCAACGUGUUACAGUUGGCGUCACGUAAAAAGAGCUCUGGACGUUGGUGAUGUCUAUCCAUGUGUAGGUAGUGUCAGUUUUUUAUAUUUAUAUAUUAUUUUAUCAGGCAGGUCUCAUGAGGUUAAGUGAUCAUCGCCGCCCAUGAACAUUUGCAGCACCAGAGGAACCGCCAAUGCGUUGUCGUCGGCUUUUUAGAAAUUUAUUGAUACGCCCUAGAAUAACCCUAAGUUGAAAUCUAGUGGGAACACCGCUGCUAGUUCCACAAUUUUCAUGUAUUAUGUCGUCGCUGCGUACGAAAAUUCUUCAAUGUGGAAAAUCACAAGUUUUCAGAAACUGUAUUAAAUCUAAAUUAUUUUGAAAAAAAUUGCGAUAUGUUUAGAUCAAAAUUAUAUAGCCAAAAAGGUUAUCUCUUGGACUAGGUACCACAAACGCUAAAGAAUAGGUUUUUGCAAGCCUACGCAUCUUUUACAACUAAUUAAAAAGACAACAAAAACGAAAGUUCCAAAAAAUUACAUAGCGGAUUUUGCAUGCGAAACGACGAUGUGUGGAAAGAAAGACCUGGGAAAGUAUACUGAUCGCCCAGGUGAUGAGGGUGAAAUUGCUUUCAGUAGCGGGUGGUGCAGUUUUAUACGGCACAGAAAUCGAAAGACUGACUGACAAACCAAUAGCGCAGCGGAGCGGACACUACCGCCGUCGUGCCUCAUUCCGUAGAUAGUAGAUUGAUAAAUCGCCCACUGCACAGGUUUAAUGUUAGAGUUCUAUUUAGAUGACGCUAACUGUAUAAAUACGUAAAAUGUAAGAUUAAUAGUAGAAACAUAUUUGAAACAUCUAUAUCAUCCGUGCAAAGGAGAAUGAUAAAACUGUAUGGAGUUUAGGCCACUAACAAAAUAUUUUUGUGUCUCGCAAAAAAUUUGUAAUGUCUGAUCUUUUUAUUUCACAGAAAAAUACUAAUUUUUCAAGUAUUUCUCUAAUUUUGUGAGAAAAACGAUUCGAGGCGAUAGACGCGUGUUUUAAAUGUGUUUCUACCAUCACAUUUCUAAUAAUGAAGAUAAUAAGGCACUAUUUACAUCAUAACAAUAAAAAGAAAUCGUGUUAUAAAAGUCUACCAUAAAAACAUUAUUUUACAUAUUCAGGAAUACUCUGUGGAUCAUAUGAUUUUUAUUAUAUUUUUAAGAUUUAAUAUAAAAAGAUAAAACAUUUUACAACACGAUCCUUAACUUUGGCUGCAAAAAGUUCUAUUAGGCUUAGGAUAAGUUCGCACUGCAGCAUUUUCCCCGCAAAAUGUCUGACAUAUGAAAAUUGUAUGAAGCCGGACGCACUCAAUUUCAGUCACAGAAUUCUGCGUGAAAAUCGUACAGUGCGUACUUACCCUAACGCGCAGGCAAGAGCGUUUUUUUUAAUCACUCUUUUCACAACCAUACUUUUUACCUUUACUGUAAAGGUAUAAGUGAUUGCACUCUAAUUCGUAUUGAAAUAAACUUGAUUCUAUGAAAUUGAUUAUUUCAUAGUCAAGAUUGGUAUCAAUAAUUCUUUUUAUAUGUUACAGUCCAAAGCCGAAACACCAGUGCACCCCGAUUGGCCUAUACGAUCCUAGGAUGGACAAAAUAAAAGCAGAAGACAAAUGUUAAGCCUUUGAAUAAGAACUCUAAAGCUGCAUAGACCAAUUACGGUGCGCCAGUCAUUCGGCUUUGAAUUAUAACAUACAAAAUGAAUUAAAAUCGAUUUGUCUUUAUAAAUUACUAAACUAAACCUAAGCGUAGAUAAGCGUACCUACUGAAACAAUCGAUUUUAUUUUUAUAUCCAUGCUGUAAUCGAUCAAUUAAAACGAUAACCUCGGUAACAUAAAAAAAUUAAAGUUAAACUAGACUAAGGGCGUUUGUGCACUGAUACGUAUUUGUUUUCGUAAAAAUACAUUUCAAAAGGCCACCCGCGUGAUACAAAAUGUGUAUGCACUUCUACAUUCAUUUGAUUCGUAUUUUGACGGAUUCGUAUAAAUACAAAUCAAAAUCAAACAUAUCAAAUGAGUGCACGAGUACAUUUUGUAUAACGGCCACCACGAAUACGAAUCGAAUAUUAAAGAGUGCAUAAACGCCCUAAAGCCAAGUGGCCAAUAGCAAUACGUCUUGCAGAACUUAGUCAGUUCUGACAGUAUAUUUGGAUUUGCAGCCAGAAAGUCAAUUUCUGUAAUUGUUCGUUACUAAAAUUUGCAGAAAUUGACACUAACACGUUCACCACAGCUGACUUCAGCUAGUUUUAUUGCUAGUGCACACUUAGCUUAACUUAAGAAAAAUGGCAAGUAAUUUAAAAAUGAGCCUCUAUAAAAUUCUAAUCAUGAAAAAAAUGAAGCUGUGACAAGAGAGAUUGAAUGUAAAAUGUAAAUGUAACUUAAAAUAAUAACUAUGAGUUAUAGGAAGAACUUUAAUAUAAUUUAAGGUAUAAUAUUAAUGUUGAACACACAUUACAGUAUGUCGCACAUUGCAACGAUAUCAAUAAAAACGUACCUACAGCUACGCUUUUUUCCUAAAAUGUACCAAAGUAAACUGAACUGAACUUUACCUUGACUAAGUAAAAUACUUUGCCUGACAAAAAUUGAAAAGAUAGACGACUAUUUUUUAAUUGCCAUAAAACUUCGGAUGAAAAAAGAAAAGUUUAUUGUUUUAAAAUGGGCAAUCAUUUCUUAAUUUAGGAAAAUUGAUUUUUAAACUUUAUAAACGUAUUAAGUAUCGAGUUCUGACUAAGUAGAUUUCUUUCUAGUAAUUAAAAAUUAGUUAUGUACGAGUAGGUAUAUGUAUUCAUAUGCGCACGCGUCGAAUAACUUCCAACUGAAAAUGCUUUGUGCUCUGCGAGCACUUAUAAUGUGUAGUCAACUAAAUAUCAUAUUUAGAAUAUAUUUCACUUAUUGCACUCACUCUUUCCCACUUACGCUCGAGUUAUCCGAAAUAGGAGACCAGAGCUUUGGAAGGCCUAAAUAUUUUUAUGUAAAUAAUCAAGCUCUAUAAAAUAUAUCUAUAUUUUGUAAAUAUAAUAUAAUAAUAUUUAUUAAAACCCCUACUAUUUGGCACUACGAUACAUAAGCAGAUUUCUUAAUAACUAAAUAUCAUGCUAUUUAUUUAUAUUCAAUAUGAACUGUCCAAAAUCAAAACGUAGUAAGCGUUUCAAAAUAUAAUAUUACGCAGAACUAUACAGUAUGAAAAGCUACACAUAAGAAAAAUGUCAACUUUAAUUUAUAAUUUUUUUAUAUACAUUAAGUAGGUUUUGUAUAUAUAUUAAGUAGUAUUAAUAUUUUUAGAUAUUUCUCACAACUCACAUACUUGAAUAUGCUAUUUAAAUCAGGCAGUAUAUGUUUGAAAAUGCUUAUGUUUGGAUGGAUCAUAUUAUAAUGAGGCUACUUUUUAUUGGCUCCAGAGUAUAACCAGCGACGAUAAAAUCCGUGCAUUAAAAAAGUGAGCGUAACCUUUUUUAAUAAAAAAUUAUGCCUAUAAAAUUUUUUCGUCUUCGAUUUUUCUCUGAAAUUCAGUUACUUAAGAUAUAUGAAAAAAUAGAAAGGGGGAAAAGUUUUUUUUUUUUUUUUAACUUUUUGUUUAAUAAAAUUAUCCGUCAUUUUUCACUUACUAAGUUUUGAUUUGAGAUAGUCGGAACAAUAUCUUAUUUUAAAUAAACAGCUACCACAUUCUACUAAACAAAAAAAAAGAUAGAAAUACUACUGUACUACGCAAAAAAUUCGAGUAUUAACCAAAUGCAAUUUGAGAGAUCCAAUAAAGAAAUAAUAUAUACUCGAUACAAUCAAUUGAAAACAAGAACUAUAUUAUACAAUAUAAAGGACCCAGUCUACAUAAUAAUGUAUAUGGUUAAUUCUGAUGUACACAAUCUCUGAACUAAGUUAAAUUCAGACAGGUCUAAAUCUAACGUUAUCCUUUUCUGGAGGGUGCAUUAUAGAAGAGAUAGCAAUAUGUAUAAUAUUUAGACGUGUCAUAUCAUGGUCAUAUUAAGGCCCAAUUUCACAAACUUGGCAUAAAUUUUAUACCCAGCAUAAAGUCGUAAGUUACUCUCAGAUAACCUAAUUCUCAUUUCACCAAAUAAAUAAAAUAUACCUAAAAAUAAAUAAGAUAUACGAAAAUAGUCCAAUACCGCCGAUUUUUAAGGGAUAGCGGGCUUAUUCCUAGGUUUUAAAUCAAAAUGACGUCGAACUCGUAACCAUGGUAACGUAGACAAGUAACAAGACAAUCAAUGACAACUGACAUUGACGUUCAGUCGACGUAAGUCUCAACCGCGACUCAUUUGCGAGCUGAGUCCCUAUGAGUUCGAAGUAGUAGUGAGUAAAGCCGGAUUCUUAUACAUUUAUAAUGGAAAUCUCUCACAAUAAUUUAAACACUGAAAUUGACAGCUGAUACCUAUUCAAACUAAACUCGUACGUAUAAUCGUACGUGCUCAUGACGUAUAAUCUCAGUUUUUGACAUUUACUCAUUCUUUUGAUUUACUCAAACCUGCCAUAGACUAUUUAAAAUCGCUAUUUCAAAGAAUAGCUUAUCUAAGGUAUGAAUAAAUUGGUGAAACGUAUUAUAAGUUGUCCAAGAGUAAAUGUAGCGGAUAAUUUUAU